rnacentral:misc_RNA from 1 species
GCAAAACAAAGAGAUAACACAUAUUCAAACUCGUGAUACUGCAGUUCAAAUUGUUAUCGAAGAUAACUAUACAAAACUUGCUUCCCAGUAAGCGAUUUCCAAAGCAAAGAGGUAACUUAGAAGUUAGAUAUACAUACAAACAAACAUACACUAAGAACAAGCCAGUAACACAAACAUAUAUAUAUACGAGAAUGUCAAAGAUACAUACUAGAAUCAAUUACGCUUUCUUCUGUUGUGUGGAUGAUCAAGAACCAGCAAAUUGUCCAGAUAACGAGAGCCAACAAAUUCCUUCAUCAUGAAAACUCGUAGAACAUCUUCAGGUGUUUGAUGAGCAAAUGAAUCAACCUGAGCUUUAUUUUCAGAACUUAACUGCAGUUCUCUGUUUUCCAGCAUCUCUGCCCCAUUGAGCAAUCCCAGAGGACCAGUACUAGUGGCAACCUUACUCGAAUUGCUAGUUAUUUCCUUGUUGCAUGAUGCGUUCUGAUUAUUUUUAGACUCGACUUCCAUUUCCCGAACUGUUUGAGAGUAAAUUUGGGAGACUGCUUUUCCACCAGGAAGGAAGAUCUUGGCUGAUUCUUUGAUUGCAUAAACAGAAGCAUUUUUGGCGAAUUUUGUACUGAAACUGACGAUUUUAGCCCUGCCUUCUUCAUCAGGCAUGUAACUGUACUGACCCAGCUUCUGCACGCCGCUAACUCGAACGACGUUGUCGAUCAUUUUAACGGCGGUCGCACUGUAAUAAUAGGUACCUUUGCAUACCUUCGUCACCGGAGUUGCUAGAUCCGGUGUGUUCCGUUUCACCGAUUCUGCGCCGGAGCUUAUGAAGUCCCAAAUUCCCAUUUUUGCCCUUUUGCUUAAAUCGGGAACUAGGAGAACUCGAAAAAUGCUAGUACACUGGGAAGUGCAACCAAACUUA